AUUGAACGCUGGCGGCAGGCCUAACACAUGCAAGUCGAACGAGUGGCGGACGGGUGGGUAAUGUCUGGGGAACUGCCUGCUGGAGGGGGAUAACUACUGGAAACGGUAGCUAAUACCGCAUACCAUCGGAUGUGCCCAGAUGGGAGUAGCUAGUGGGUGGGGUAACGGCUCACCUAGGCGACGAUCCCUAGCUGGUCUGAGCGGAUGACCGGCCAAACUGGAACUGAGACACGGUCCAGAGGCCUACGGGAGGAAGCAGUGGGGAAGAUUGGGCAAUGGGCGCAAGCCUGAUGCAGCCAUGCCGCGUGUAUGAAGAAGGCCUGCGGGUUGUAAAGUACUUUCAGCGUGGAGGCGUUACCCGCAGAAGAAGCACCGGCUAACUCCGUGCCAGCAGCCGCGGUAAUAC
rnacentral:rRNA from 1 species